GGACUCAUAGCAUAGUGGCUUAAUGCAGUCGGCUGUCGCCCGAAAGAUCGUGGGUUCGAAUCCCAUUGGGUCCG
rnacentral:tRNA from 1 species